rnacentral:lncRNA from 1 species
GUUUGGGCUAUUGAGAGUGGCUGAUGUUUUCACAGCAAGGAGUGGACCGGCCCUCGCUCAGACCAAGGCACGGGACACCUCGGGAGGCUGAGCAGAGUGAGUGGGGAGCGCCCAGCGCAGAGCCCCGGCAACCAGCCCACCUACAGGAGCAGCAGGGGAAGAGGAGCACAGAAAGACAGCUAUGUGGACCACCCCUUCCUUCAUUCAAGCAAAAUGUCACCUUCCACAUCACUGCCUCCAGGGAGGAAGCCCCCUCUGCCCAUGAGCAGAUGAAGAGGUAAACAAAAUGUAGUACAUGUAUGCAGUGGAACAGUAUUUAGUCAUGAAAAAUGGUGUACAGAUUCC